UACGGGGGGGGCAAGCGUUGUUCGGAAUUACUGGGCGUAAAGGGUCAGUAGGCGGCCAACUAAGUCCGACGUGAAAUCCCAAAGCUUAACUUUGGAACUGCGUCGGAUACUGGAUGGCUUGAAUUCGGGAGAGGGAUGCAGAAUUCCAGGUGUAGCGGUGAAAUGCGUAGAUAUCUGGAGGAAUACCGGUGGCGAAGGCGGCAUCCUGGACCGACAUUGACGCUGAACGACGAAAGCUAGGGGAGCAAACGGG
rnacentral:rRNA from 1 species